GUGGAUGGUUUGUUUUUCUGCUUUUCCUAAUAAAUCUUGCUGCUGUUUGCUCUUAGGGUCCGCACUACCUUUAUGAGCUGUAGCACUCAGCAUGAAGGUCUGCAGCUUUACUGUUGAAGCUAGCGAGACCACAAACCCAGUGGGAGAAACCAACCAUUCUGGACCUGCCACCUUUGAGAGCUGUAACAGGGUGAAGGUCUGCAGUUUCACUCCUUAAGUCAGUGAGACCAUGAACUCACCUGGAGGAAGGAACGACUCCCGACGUGCCACCUUUAAAGAGCUGUAAUACUCACAGCGAAGGUCUGCAGCUUCACUCCUGAAGUUAGCGAGACCACGAACCCACCAGAAGGAGGAAACUCCCGACACAUCCGAACAUCUGAAGGAACAAGCUCUGAACACACUGUCUUUAAGAACUGUAACACUCACCGAGAGGGUCCGCAGCUUCAUUUUUGAAGUCAGCGAGACCAAGAACCCACCGGCAGGAACCAUUUCCGGACACAAUACAUUGUAGUAACUCUGUAUACUGUCCCCUUCCUCUGUUUAUUUGGUGGCUGGCUAGAUUAUUUUAGUAUAGUCUGUUCUCCCUGCUUCCCCUCACUAUGUCAAGCUCCUCACUGUGUCCAGCUCCUCAGGGGAAAAGACUGCUGCUCCUGAAGGGAAAAAGCUGAGUGUCCACUGUC
rnacentral:lncRNA from 1 species